UACGGAGGGUGCGAGCGUUAAUAGGAAUUACUGGGCGUAAAGCGUGCGCAGGCGGUUUGUUAAGCGAGAUGUGAAAGCCCCGGGCUCAACCUGGGAACCGCAUUUCGAACUGGCAAACUAGAGUCUUGUAGAGGGGGGUAGAAUUCCAGGUGUAGCGGUGAAAUGCGUAGAGAUCUGGAGGAAUACCGGUGGCGAAGGCGGCCCCCUGGACAAAGACUGACGCUCAGGCACGAAAGCGUGGGGAGCAAACAGG
rnacentral:rRNA from 1 species